UACGGGGGGGGCAAGCGUUGUUCGGAUUCAUUGGGCGUAAAGGGUGCGUAGGCGGCGCGGUAAGUCGGGUGUGAAAUCUCGGAGCUUAACUCCGAAACUGCAUUCGAUACUGCCGUGCUUGAGGACUGGAGAGGAGACUGGAAUUUACGGUGUAGCGGUGAAAUGCGUAGAUAAUCGUAAGGAAGACCAGUGGCGAAGGCGGGUCUCUGGACAGUUCCUGACACUGAGGCACGAAGGCCAGGGGAGCAAACGGG
rnacentral:rRNA from 1 species